CCUCGAGGACGACCUCGAGGACGACGGGGACGACCUCGAGGACGACCUCG
rnacentral:ncRNA from 1 species